CCUACGGGUGGCAGCAGUCGAGAAUCAUUCACAAUGGGGGAAACCCUGAUGGUGCGACGCCGCGUGGGGGAAUGAAGGUCUUCGGAUUGUAAACCCCUGUCAUGUGGGAGCAAAUUAAAAAGAUAGUACCACAAGAGGAAGAGACGGCUAACUCUGUGCCAGCAGCCGCGGUAAUACAGAGGUCUCAAGCGUUGUUCGGAAUCACUGGGCGGAAAGCGUGCGUAGGCUGUUUCGUAAGUCGUGUGUGAAAGGCGCGGGCUCAACCCGCGGACGGCACAUGAUACUGCGAGACUAGAGUAAUGGAGGGGGAACCGGAAUUCUCGGUGUAGCAGUGAAAUGCGUAGAUAGCGAGAGGAACACUCGUGGCGAAGGCGGGUUCCUGGACAUUAACUGACGCUGAGGCACGAAGGCCAGGGGAGCGAAAGGGAUUAGAUACCCUGGUAGUC
rnacentral:rRNA from 1 species